rnacentral:rRNA from 1 species
GCCAGACUCCUACGGGAGGCAGCAGUGGGGGAUAUUGCACAAUGGGGGAAACCCUGAUGCAGCGACACCGCGUGGGUGAGGAAGCGCUUCGGCGUGUAAAGCCCUAUCAGUGGGGAAGAAAAAGGACGGUACCCAAAGAAGAAGCACCGGCUAAAUACGUGCCAGCAGCCGCGGUAAUACGUAUGGUGCAAGCGUUAUCCGGAUUUACUGGGCGUAAAGGGAGCGCAGGCGGCGCGCCAAGUCUGAUGUGAAACCCCGGGGCUCAACCCCGGGCAUGCAUUGGAAACUGGCGGGCUGGAGUGCCGGAGAGGUAAGCGGAAUUCCUAGUGUAGCGGUGAAAUGCGUAGAUAUUAGGAGGAACACCAGUGGCGAAGGCGGCUUACUGGACGGCAACUGACGCUGAGGCUCGAAAGCGUGGGGAGCAAACAGGAUUAGAUACCCCCGUAC